GUGCGUGUGUGUGUGUGUGUGUGUGUGUGUGUGUGUGUGUGUGGUGGGGCAGGGGGCGGUUAACUCCUUUUCUUCCCAAACCAUAGUAGUCUGGGGAGGGAGACAUUCAGAGGCUCCACCCGUACCGGGAAAAGCAAACAAUCUGGUGCCAGAAAGCUUUGAGUUCGAUUCCCGGCUCUGUCACUUACUAGAGGCGCGCUCCUUUGUCCUGGUUAUUUAGUCUCCCGCUUCUGGAGAGACUCCCUGGGCCGGGGCGGGGGCCGUUGCGCAGUGCCAGGGAGGUAACGGCUGGGAAAGGGCUUCUGCGUGCUGGAACGCGCCGCUGGGGACCGCGGGGUUACAGGGCUCUCAGCGGGCGCCGCCGCUCCAGCCCCUCGGCCUCGCGCGCGCGGGGUGCCAGUGGGUUUCGUGCUGAAGGCGGGGAGGCCGCCUGCCAGAUGUCGAGUCAGAAAAACGGUCACCGUCGGUGCCUGGACAAUGGGGAGGGGCGCCCUGGGGCCCCGGGGAGACUCGGCCCCUGGCCGCCGCCGCGGGCCACUGCCCAGGCAAUGUAGAGUUUCUCAAAUGUCACUUCAGCUAUCAACAGACAAGAAGGAACUGAGAGAAGAGCCUGGUGCCAUCUCACACACCUGUAAUCCCAGCUACUUGGGAGGCUGAGACAGGGAGAUCCCAAAUUCAAGGCUCUUCCUGAGGCUGUUAGUAGGCCUGGAUAAGUCCUCCCUUGCCUCCGCCUCACCUCAUCACCUUCCCUCCACCCCCGCUGAUGCUGCUGCUGCCGCAGUAACAUCCCAGAUCCUUUCUUCCAAUUUAAAACUCAGCACCACGUCCUGGAGACCCGCCUCCCACCUUCCUUCUCCCAGAGCUGCACCAGCCUGGAAGUGGAGCAAAGGAGCCGCUGGAGAUAGAAUUCCAGUCCCCCCCCCGCGCCCCCGCAUCUGACAC
ensembl:lncRNA